rnacentral:rRNA from 1 species
GCUGGCGCUGCUUACCUGCAGUCGAACGAUGAUGAAGAGCUUGCUCUUCGGAUUAGUGGCGAACGGGUGAGUAACACGUGAGUAACCUGCCCUUGACUCUGGGAUAAGCGUUGGAAACGACGUCUAAUACCGGAUACGAACCGCGAAGGCAUCUUCAGUGGUUGGAAAGAAUUUUGGUCAAGGAUGGACUCGCGGCCUAUCAGGUAGUUGGUGAGGUAAUGGCUCACCAAGCCUACGACGGGUAGCCGGCCUGAGAGGGUGACCGGCCACACUGGGACUGAGACACGGCCCAGACUCCUACGGGAGGCAGCAGUGGGGAAUAUUGCACAAUGGGCGAAAGCCUGAUGCAGCAACGCCGCGUGAGGGACGACGGCCUUCGGGUUGUAAACCUCUUUUAGCAGGGAAGAAGCGAAAGUGACGGUACCUGCAGAAAAAGCACCGGCUAACUACGUGCCAGCAGCCGCGGUAAUACGUAGGGUGCAAGCGUUGUCCGGAAUUAUUGGGCGUAAAGAGCUCGUAGGCGGUUUGUCGCGUCUGCUGUGAAAACUGGAGGCUCAACCUCCAGCCUGCAGUGGGUACGGGCAGACUAGAGUGCGGUAGGGGAGAUUGGAAUUCCUGGUGUAGCGGUGGAAUGCGCAGAUAUCAGGAGGAACACCGAUGGCGAAGGCAGAUCUCUGGGCCGUAACUGACGCUGAGGAGCGAAAGGGUGGGGAGCAAACAGGCUUAGAUACCCUGGUAGUCCACCCCGUAAACGUUGGGAACUAGAUGUGGGGACCAUUCCACGGUCUCCGUGUCGCAGCUAACGCAUUAAGUUCCCCGCCUGGGGAGUACGGCCGCAAGGCUAAAACUCAAAGGAAUUGACGGGGGCCCGCACAAGCGGCGGAGCAUGCGGAUUAAUUCGAUGCAACGCGAAGAACCUUACCAAGGCUUGACAUAUACGAGAACGCACGAGAGAUCGUGCACUCUUUGGACACUCGUAUACAGGUGGUGCAUGGUUGUCGUCAGCUCGUGUCGUGAGAUGUUGGGUUAAGUCCCGCAACGAGCGCAACCCUCGUUCUAUGUUGCCAGCACGUAAUGGUGGGAACUCAUGGGAUACUGCCGGGGUCAACUCGGAGGAAGGUGGGGACGACGUCAAAUCAUCAUGCCCCUUAUGUCUUGGGCUUCACGCAUGCUACAAUGGCCAGUACAAAGGGCUGCAAUACCGUAAGGUGGAGCGAAUCCCAAAAAGCUGGUCCCAGUUCGGAUUGAGGUCUGCAACUCGACCUCAUGAAGUCGGAGUCGCUAGUAAUCGCAGAUCAGCAACGCUGCGGUGAAUACGUUCCCGGGCCUUGUACACACCGCCCGUCAAGUCAUGAAAGUCGGUAACACCCGAAGCCGGUGGCCUAACCCUUUAUGGGAAGGAGCUGUCUAAGUGGAUA